CGAACGAGAACACCAUAGCUUGCUAUGGUAAGUAAAGUGGCGAACGGGUGAGUAACGCGUGGGUAAUCUGCCCUUGAAUUUGGGAUAACAUUGCGAAAGUGAUGCUAAUACCGAAUGAAGUCUUGAACACAUAAGUGAAUGAGAUGAAAGGUGGCCUCUUCAAGAAAGCUACUGUUUGAGGAUGAGCCCGCGUACCAUUAGUUAGUUGGUGGGGUAAAGGCCUACCAAGGCAGCGAUGGUUAGCUGGUCUGAGAGGAUGAUCAGCCACACUGGGACUGACACACGGUCCAGACUCCUACGGGAGGCAGCAGUGAGGAAUUUUGCGCAAUGGGGGAAACCCUGACGCAGCAACGCCGCGUGAGUGAUGAAGGCUUUCGGGUCGUAAAGCUCUGUCAAAUGGGAAGAACAUUUAGUAUUUUAAUAAGAUAUUAGACUGACGGUACCAUUAAAGGAAGCACCGGCUAACUCCGUGCCAGCAGCCGCGGUAAUACGGAGGGUGCAAGCGUUAUUCGGAAUUAUUGGGCGUAAAGAGCGCGUAGGCGGUUUGAUAAGUCAGAUGUGAAAGCCCGGGGCUUAACCCCGGAAGUGCAUUUGAAACUGUCAGACUUGAGUAU
rnacentral:rRNA from 1 species